CUUUAUUGGAGAGUUUGAUCCUGGCUCAGGACGAACGCUGGCGGCAUGCCUAAUACAUGCAAGUCGAGCGGACUUGAUGGGAAGCUUGCUUCUCUGAUGGUUAGCGGCGGACGGGUGAGUAACACGUAGGCAACCUGCCCUCAAGUUUGGGACAACUACCGGAAACGGUAGCUAAUACCGAAUA
rnacentral:rRNA from 1 species